rnacentral:rRNA from 1 species
AACGAACGCUGGCGGCAUGCCUAACACAUGCAAGUCGAACGAGACCUUCGGGUCUAGUGGCGCACGGGUGCGUAACGCGUGGGAACCUGCCCUUAGGUUCGGAAUAACUCCCCGAAAGGGGUGCUAAUACCGGAUAAUGUCUUCGGACCAAAGAUUUAUCGCCUUUGGGUGGGCCCGCGUUGGAUUAGCUAGUUGGUAGGGUAAAAGCCUACCAAGGCGACGAUCCAUAGCUGGUCUGAGAGGAUGAUCAGCCACACUGGGACUGAGACACGGCCCAGACUCCUACGGGGGGCAGCAGUGGGGAAUAUUGGACAAUGGGCGAAAGCCUGAUCCAGCAAUGCCACGUGAGUGAUGAAGGCCUUAGGGUUGUAAAGCUCUUUUACCCGGGAUGAUAAUGACAGUACCGGGAGAAUAAGCUCCGGCUAACUCCGUG